rnacentral:rRNA from 1 species
CACGUAGUUAGCCGGUGCUUUUUCUGCAGGUACCGUCAAGCCGAAGCCCUUCUUCCCUACUAAAAGAGGUUUACAACCCGAAGGCCGUCAUCCCCCACGCGGCGUUGCUGCAUCAGGCUUUCGCCCAUUGUGCAAUAUUCCCCACUGCUGCCUCCCGUAGGAGUCUGGGCCGUGUCUCAGUCCCAGUGUGGCCGGUCACCCUCUCAGGCCGGCUACCCGUCGUCGGCUUGGUGAGCCAUUACCUCACCAACUACCUGAUAGGCCGCGAGUCCAUCCUUGACCGAAAAACUUUCCACCCGCACCCGAUGCCGGGGCAGGUCGUAUCCGGUAUUAGACGCCGUUUCCAGCGCUUAUCCCAGAGUCAAGGGCAGGUUACUCACGUGUUACUCACCCGUUCGCCACUAAUCCACCCAGCAAGCUGGGCUUCAUCGUUCGACUUGCAUGUGUUAAGCACGCCGCCAGCGUUCGUCCUGAGCCAGGAUCAAACUCU